rnacentral:lncRNA from 1 species
ACACUCAACCCUAGACGCUGCCGUGGGGUCAGAGCCCAUGCUCCCAACGACCUGCCCGUCUGCAUGCUCCUCCCCUAGGGGUUUGAGCUGCUGCAGCAGAGCGCCAAAGAAGCAAGCCACACGCCAUCACACGCCCUGCCAGGGGGAUAAGGGAACUUUUCCUGUUUCAACUGGGACCUCGCCCAGGAUCCCGGAAGGGAUUCCAGCAUUUGUCCCAGCAUGUUUUAUGCAGAAAGAAGUGAUCAAGGAAAGUGUCCAAGACAUGGUAAGCCAAAUGUAGAAUGAGGCAGUCAUAGUGAGAGGAUUGUCCACUCUGUUAUGCAUGAUUGAGAGUCAUAUUUAUUCCUAAACUACAUUCUUUUAUUAUUACUGUUAACUUUUCUCUGAAGUCCACACAGAGGAGAACUCCAUGGGAAGAUACACAUUGAGAGAGAAGAUAUUCAUGUGAUGAUGAAGGUAGAAACUAGAAUGAUGCAUCUACAAGCCAAGGAAUGCUAGAGAUUGUAGGCAACUACCAGAAACUACAAGAGGUAAGAGGAUUCUCUGCUGCAGGUUUCAGAGGGAGUGUGGUCCUACUCCUACCUCGAU